rnacentral:sRNA from 1 species
UUUCCGACAAAAUUCUGCUUAAUUAUAAAUUCUUAGAAAAUUUUAUAGACAUUUUAUUUACAAACAUUUCCCUAAUCGGGGGAUUUCCUCUAAGUCCUUAUCUGGACCAUCAUCUGACGUCAAUACAAUCAUGAAAUUCCCAUUGAACUACAGCUAUCGUUUCUUGACACUGUAACGAAAGCAUUUAUAGUUAGUUCUCUCUUUUUUCUUUUUUGAUUUUUUGAAGGGUGCGACAGUGAUCGAAAUUCGUCACGGUUUAUUCGAGAUUCGUUAAAUGAUUUUAAGUGCUGAUCUUCUCUAAAAUAUUGUGGAUAUGGCGCAACGGAACUUCUGGGAAAAUAAGGCACUUAAUCCUCUGCGACUUAUUUGGGAAUUUUUCCAAAGCCAUUGAAAACUAAAAGUUUGAAAAUUCCAUUACCAACGUCUAAAGUUGAAAUAUAUUAAUAAAAUAAAACAAAGGAUAUGAGAAUAAAUAA